AUUGAACGCUAGCGGCAGGCCUAACACAUGCAAGUCGAGCGAGCGGCGGGCGGGUGAGUAAGGUAUGGGCAUCUGCCUGAUGGAUGGCGAUAACUAAUGGAAACGGUGGCUAAUACCGCAUACUAUCGGAUGAACCCAGAUGGGAUGAGAUAGUAGUUGGGGUAAAGGCUCACCAAGGCGACGAUCCCUAGCUAGUCGGAGAGGAUGACCAGGCACACGGGGACUGAGACACGGCCCAGACUCCUACGGGAGGCAGCAGUGGGGAAUAUUGCGCAAGGGGGGCAACCCUGACACAGCCAUGCCGCGUGAAUGAAGAAGGCCUGCGGGUUGUAAAGUUCUUUCGGUAGCGAGGCGUUACCUACAGAAGAAGCACCGGCUAACUCCGUGCCAGCAGCCGCGGUAAUAC
rnacentral:rRNA from 1 species